rnacentral:rRNA from 1 species
AGCGGCGGAUGGGUGAGUAACACGUGGGGAACCUGCCCCUAAGUCUGGGAUACCAUUUGGAAACAGGUGCUAAUACCGGAUAAUAAAGCAGAUCGCAUGAUCAGCUUUUGAAAGGCGGCGUAAGCUGUCGCUAAGGGAUGGCCCCGCGGUGCAUUAGCUAGUUGGUAAGGUAACGGCUUACCAAGGCGACGAUGCAUAGCUGAGUUGAGAGACUGAUCGGCCACAUUGGGACUGAGACACGGCCCAAACUCCUACGGGAGGCAGCAGUAGGGAAUCUUCCACAAUGGACGCAAGUCUGAUGGAGCAACGCCGCGUGAGUGAAGAAGGUUUUCGGAUCGUAAAGCUCUGUUGUUGGUGAAGAAGGAUAGAGGUAGUAACUGGCCUUUAUUUGACGGUAAUCAACCAGAAAGUCACGGCUAACUACGUGCCAGCAGCCGCGGUAAUACGUAGGUGGCAAGCGUUGUCCGGAUUUAUUGGGCGUAAAGCGAGCGCAGGCGGAAAAAUAAGUCUAAUGUGAAAGCCCUCGGCUUAACCGAGGAACUGCAUCGGAAACUGUUUUUCUUGAGUGCAGAAGAGGAGAGUGGAACUCCAUGUGUAGCGGUGGAAUGCGUAGAUAUAUGGAAGAACACCAGUGGCGAAAGGCGGCUCUCUGGUCUGCAACUGACGCUGAGGCUCGAAAGCAUGGGUAGCGAACAGGAUUAGAUACCCUGGGUAGUCCAUGCCGUAACGAUGAGUGCUAGUGU